rnacentral:rRNA from 1 species
CAUUGGCUCAACCAANGUAUGCUUUGGAAACUGUUAGACUNGAGUGCAGAAGGGGAGAGUGGAAUUCCAUGUGUAGCGGUGAAAUGCGUAGAUAUAUGGAGGAACACCGGUGGCGAAAGCGGCUCUCUGGUCUGUCACUGACGCUGAGGCUCGAAAGCGUGGGUAGCGAACAGGAUUAGAUACCCUGGUAGUCCACGCCGUAGACGCUGAGUGCUAGGUGUUGGGUCCUUUCCGGGACUUAGUGCCGACGCUAACGCAUUAAGCACUCCGCCUGGGGAGUACGACCGCAAGGUUGAAACUCAAAGGAAUUGACGGGGGCCCGCACAAGCGGUGGAGCAUGUGGUUUAAUUCGAAGCAACGCGAAGAACCUUACCAGGUCUUGACAUCCCGAUGCCCGCUCUAGAGAUAGAGUUUUUCUUCGGAACAUCGGAGACAGGUGGUGCAUGGUUGUCGUCAGCUCGUGUCGUGAGAUGUUGGGUUAAGUCCCGCAACGAGCGCAACCCUUAUUGUUAGUUGCCAUCAUUAAGUUGGGCACUCUAGCGAGACUGCCGGUAAUAAACCGGAGGAAGGUGGGGAUGACGUCAAAUCAUCAUGCCCCUUAUGACCUGGGCUACGCACGUGCUACAAUGGUUGGUACAACGAGUCGCAAGCCGGUGACGGCAAGCUAAUCUCUGAAAGCCAAUCUCAGUUCGGAUUGUAGGCUGCAACUCGCCUACAUGAAGUCGGAAUCGCUAGUAAUCGCGGAUCAGCACGCCGCGGUGAAUACGUUCCCGGGCCUUGUACACACCGCCCGUCACACCACGAGAGUUUGUAACACCCA